GGGCUCGGCUGGGCGCGCCACCCGCCACCUCCACCUACGCCAGCGCCACGGCCAGCACGGCCAGUCCCGAGGCGCCGGGCACCUCGCGAGCACUGCGGGGGCGCUGCUUCCCUGGCCGCGGACGCCGGCCUCACCUGGGCUUAAAUCCAGCAGAAAAGACUGCAUCUGUUUCCUGAAGCUCCUACACAUGUGUGGGAUCACUAGAGGUCAUGGCGAUCAUUUUUCCAUGUCAAACCAAGCUUUGCAGUUGAAUGGCUAGACCCGAGCCAAUCGCUACCAAAAGAAGGUCGUGGUGUCAGCUGGUCAGGCACAGCUCUCGCUCCUAGAGGCCAGCUGAAACCCAGUGGGCUGGGACAGAGAGGAGAAGGUUCCAUCUGCGGGGUGAGGUGAUGGAUGCUGAAGAGAAAACAAACAAACAAAAAAUCUUCAAAGUAUAAACAUUUGCACAGAGACUGAAGUGAUAGUACCACAGGUAGGGCAUUUGCCUUACACAUGGCCGACUGGAGUUUAAACUCUGGCACCCCAUAUGGUCCCCUGAGCCCUCCAGGAGUGAUCCCUGAGCACAGAUCCAGGAGUAAACCCUGAGCACCUCCAGGUGUGACCCAAAAACAAAUCAAUCAAUCAAUCAAUAUUUGCAUAGAGAAGGGGCUUCUUUCAGGGAGCUUCUUUCAGGUAUGAUGCUAUACCAUCAUAAGAUGGUAUAGCAUCUGGGGGCAUCUGAAACACAACUCAGUGCUGCACUGUAGCACUGUUGUCACGUUGUUCAUUGAUUUGCUCGAGCGGGCACCAGUAACGUUUCCAUUGUGAGACUUGUGACUGUUUUUGGCAUAUCAAAUACGCCAUGGGUAGCUUGCCAGGCUCUGCCAUGAGGGUGGGAUACUCUCAGUAGCUUGCCAGGGAUGGAGGGAUAGAGGAAUUGAACCCAGGUCAGCCAUGUGCAAGGCAAAUGCCCUGCCCACUGUGCUAUCACUCCAGUCCUUCCUCAGUGCCUGAGAGGGAAAAAUGGGAAAUGCAUCGGAGUUUUGGGCACCCACCGCUUUUCAGGGGCUACUCCCACAUAGGGCUCCCAGGAACCCAUGGAGCUAGGAUCGAAAUCUACCCUCCUAUAAAUAAAGCACUCUCAGCCCUUUGGGUCA